GACGUAGGGGGCCAGCGUUGUUCGGAAUUACUGGGUGUAAAGGGUUCGUAGGCGGUGCGGCAAGUUGGGAGUGAAAUCUCUGGGCUUAACCCAGAGGCUGCUUCCAAAACUGCUGUGCUUGAGUGUGGGAGAGGCGCGUGGAAUUGCAGGUGUAGCGGUGAAAUGCGUAGAUAUCCGCAGGAACACCCGUGGCGAAAGCGGCGCGCUGGACCACUACUGACGCUGAGGAACGAAAGCUAGGGGAGCAAACAGG
rnacentral:rRNA from 1 species